UUUGUGAGUUUGAUGAUAAAGUUGUUUUCGUUUCCUGUAUGGGUAAUUUAUAGCACGUAUAUGUUUGUGAUGGAUCCGUUUCAAAUAAUGAGGCGUGGAAAAAGAUAUGUGAUGCACAAGUUUAUGAGGAGUUUUAGAUUUGUGUUUGAAUGGUUGAAGGAGCAGAGGUCAGUAUGGAAGUUGGGGUUGAAACUCGGAUGGGGAUGUUUGAUGCACAAGUUUAUGAGGAGUUUUGGAUUUGUGUUUGAAUGGUUGAAGGAGCAGAGGUCAGUAUGGAAGUUGGGGUUGAAACUCGGAUGGGGAUGUUUGUGGUCUGUGUAUGUAUGUGUUGUUUUGGUUGGAUUGCUGGUAUCAGCUUUUAUAAUGGGUGGCAUCUUGAUGAGAAUUAUGGUUGAAGAGCCGAUCAGGAUGAACGAGCCCUUGAAUUUUGAUUAUACAGCAAAAAGCCAGUUGCAUAUGUGCCUGUAAUAAUGAAGAGCCGAUCAGGAUGAACGAGCCUUUGAAUUUUGAUUAUACGGCAAAAAGCCCAGUUGCAUAUGUCCCUGUAAUAAGGAGUCCAGGUGUGACCUGUGGUGUAGGUAGUAAAGAUCAAGUGGAGGUUGGGAUGGUUGAUGG
rnacentral:lncRNA from 1 species